GCCAGUUUAGCCUAAUGGUAGGGCAACGGUCUCCAAAACCGUCUGUGUUGGUUCGACUCCAGCAACUGUGCGCCA
rnacentral:tRNA from 1 species